GUUUGACUUGAUUGCAACCGAGUCGAACCAGUUGUUGUUGCUUUUAGGCUUUUGUAGGAUUUUGGACAGUUAAUAGGUAAGUUGUUUACUAGGUUCAAUUACUUUUUCUGCCGGAAAGUUCCGGCCGGAGUGGGCGAGUGACCGAAUCAAAGUGUCUUGUAUUCCAGAUUUCGGUCUUCGUGGCGGAGGAGGAGGAGGACGGGAAAUAUGGUUUACUCGGCGGGCCAUUCCGGAAGACGGGACGGGAAGGAACCAGUUUGCGAUCGUGGAAGCGGUUGGUGUUUGGUGUUUUACCGUCCGCGGGAUGUUGCGACGCAUACCUAAUGGAACUGGCAACAUACAUUUUCCAAUCUGAUUCUGCUGGAAACCGGAAUGCGUUCCCGUGUGGUCAUCCGUGGCUUCCGUAGAAUCCACGGAAGCAGCCCCGUUUUUUUCGUUCUCGUACUCCACAAAACCCACGUUUCCUCGUACUCCGGUAAACAUCAAUCCGUCGGAGAUCCAAGAUCGUCGCCAAGGCGUCGCAUCCGGGUUUUGAUCAGCUCGUCGAGGAACAAAAGUCCAACACGACCAAGAUGCUGCCACGGCCGCCUCAGAAGAACACCAACACCCAAGCCGGAAGCUGCGGUCAAGGCAAAUCCAGAAGGAAGCCAAGUUGGGGAAGAAUCGGCGA